rnacentral:rRNA from 1 species
UGACUGACCGAUAGUGAACCAGUACCGUGAGGGAAAGGCGAAAAGAACCCCGGCGAGGGGAGUGAAAAAGAACCUGAAACCGUGUACGUACAAGCAGUGGGAGCACAGGUUUACCUGUGUGACUGCGUACCUUUUGUAUAAUGGGUCAGCGACUUAUAUUCUGUAGCAAGGUUAACCGAAUAGGGGAGCCGGAGGGAAACCGAGUCUUAACCGGGCGUUAAGUUGCAGGGUAUAGACCCGAAACCCGGUGAUCUAGCCAUGGGCAGGUUGAAGGUUGGGUAACACUAACUGGAGGACCGAACCGACUAAUGUUGAAAAAUUAGCGGAUGACCUGUGGCUGGGGGUGAAAGGCCAAUCAAACCGGGAGAUAGCUGGUUCUCCCCGAAAGCUAUUUAGGUAGCGCCUCGUGAAUUCAUCUCCGGGGGUAGAGCACUGUUUCGGCUAGGGGGCCAUCCCGGCUUACCAACCCGAUGCAAACUGCGAAUACCGGAGAAUGUUAUCACGGGAGACACACGGCGGGUGCUAACGUCCGUCGUGAAGAGGGAAACAACCCAGACCGCCAGCUAAGGUCCCAAAGUCAUGGUUAAGUGGGAAACGAUGUGGGAAGGCCCAGACAGCCAGGAUGUUGGCUUAGAAGCAGCCAUCAUUUAAAGAAAGCGUAAUAGCUCACUGGUCGAGUCGGCCUGCGCGGAAGAUGUAACGGGGCUAAACCAUGCACCGAAGCUGCGGCAGCGAACGUAUCACUUAAAGCGAUUCAGCGGGUUACGAUUGACGGAGCGAAGCGACGUCAAAGCGUAUACAAAGUCGAGUCGGUUUAAGGAUACGUUCGUUGGGUAGGGGAGCGUUCUGUAAGCCUGCGAAGGUGGCCUGUGAGGGUUGCUGGAGGUAUCAGAAGUGCGAAUGCUGACAUAAGUAACGAUAAAGCGGGUGAAAAGCCCGCUCGCCGGAAGACCAAGGGUUCCUGUCCAACGUUAAUCGGGGCAGGGUGAGUCGACCCCUAAGGCGAGGCCGAAAGGCGUAGUCGAUGGGAAACGGGUUAAUAUUCCCGUACUUGGUGUUACUGCGAAGGGGGGACGGAGAAGGCUAUGUUGGCCGGGCGACGGUUGUCCCGGUUUAAGCGUGUAGGUGUGUGUUCCAGGUAAAUCCGGUUCACUUUAACACUGAGGCGUGACGACGAGGCACUACGGUGCUGAAGCAACAAAUGCCCUGCUUCCAGGAAAAGCCUCUAAGCAUCAGGUAACAUCAAAUCGUACCCCAAACCGACACAGGUGGUCAGGUAGAGAAUACCAAGGCGCUUGAGAGAACUCGGGUGAAGGAACUAGGCAAAAUGGUGCCGUAACU